ensembl:processed_transcript Gm15941 predicted gene 15941
GGAGUGGAAAAUUCAGGCUAUGUGUUCUUGGCGUGACAGAUUGUCAAUAGCCGGGGUGUUCUGCAUGGAGAGCUGGGAUGAGCUGUUCUGUUUCAGGGCCCAGUCUGUGUGAUGUCACUCAACAGCCCUUGGGACAUCUCCUCAUAGCCACAGACUAGUUCUGCAAUUGGUCACCUUCUUGAUUUGAAGCCACCCCUGGGAAUCUGGUGUCUGUCUUGGGAAUCUCUGCAUCAGAAAUCAGGUGUGGAAUCAGCUCUCAGUUGAAUUCCAAGGGAGAGCAAUUGCUGGCCUUACUUCUACAGGAAUGUGGCCCAGCUCACCCCCGAUUUGCCCCAUCAAUGGUACACUUCUCUCACCUUGGGUAAGCUCUGACGCCAGCUCACAGUUAGCAUGUGUCAUGUGGAAUGGCUGUCGCCCUGGAAUUGCCAUGUGAAAUCCAGCACUGCGCUGGACACAGUUGCAUGCAAACCACUUGUACUGUGGAGUGCACAAUCUCAUGAAGGCCCAUCCAUCUGUAACCAUGGAGGAAGUCUGCAAGCACUGGUGUAGCAGUUCAAGGCAUGGCAGGUGCAUGCACCAAGUGAGAGACAACUGAGAGAAACAGAUGCUGUGGUGCAGGGAUCAUACUAGAAGCACAAAAGAGGACCAAGGAGAGGACCGUGUCAAGGAGAAUCCAGAAAGGACAUUGGGUACUGUGGCUUGGUCUCGGGCAGCCAGCUUUCACGUACCACUCGGCGGACAUUGGUGUGUGUGU